rnacentral:rRNA from 1 species
CCUACGGGGGGCAGCAGUGAGGAAUAUUGGUCAAUGGGCGGGAGCCUGAACCAGCCAAGCCGCGUGAGGGAAGAAGGUACAGCGUAUCGUAAACCUCUUUUGUCAGGGAACAAAGGCGGGGACUAGUCCCCGGCUGAGGGUACCUGAAGAAAAAGCACCGGCUAACUCCGUGCCAGCAGCCGCGGUAAUACGGAGGAUGCGAGCGUUAUCCGGAUUUACUGGGUUUAAAGGGUGCGUAGGCGGAAGGUUAAGUCAGCGGUAAAAUGUCGGUGCUCAACACCGGCCUGCCGUUGAAACUGGUCUACUUGAGUGAGCGAGAAGUAUGCGGAAUGCGUGGUGUAGCGGUGAAAUGCAUAGAUAUCACGCAGAACUCCGAUUGCGAAGGCAGCAUACCGGCGCUCAACUGACGCUGAGGCACGAAAGCGUGGGGAUCGAACAGGAUUAGAUACCCCUGUAGUC